rnacentral:rRNA from 1 species
CACGUAGGCACCAAGCGUUGUCCGGAUUUAUUGGGCGUAAAGAGCUCGUAGGCGGUUCAGUAAGUCGGGUGUGAAAACUUUGGGCUUAACCCAAAGCGUGCAUCCGAUACUGCUGUGACUUGAGUUCGGUAGGGGAGUGGGGAAUUCCUAGUGUAGCGGUGAAAUGCGCAGAUAUUAGGAGGAACACCGGUGGCGAAGGCGGGUCUCUGGGCCGAAACUGACGCUGAGGAGCGAAAGCGUGGGGAGCGAACAGG